GGGGAUGUAGCUCAGUGGUAGAGUGCUUGCCUAGCAUGUAUGAGGUCCUGGGUUCAAUCCCCAGCACCA
rnacentral:tRNA from 1 species